GAUGAACGCUGGCGGCGUGCCUAAUACAUGCAAGUCGAGCGAACAGACGAGGAGCUUGCUCCUCUGACGUUAGCGGCGGACGGGUGAGUAACACGUGGAUAACCUACCUAUAAGACUGGGAUAACUUCGGGAAACCGGAGCUAAUACCGGAUAAUAUAUUUAACCGCAUGGUUCAAUAGUGAAAGACGGUUUUGCUGUCACUUAUAGAUGGAUCCGCGCCGCAUUAGCUAGUUGGUAAGGUAACGGCUUACCAAGGCAACGAUGGGUAGCCGACCUGAGAGGGUGAUCGGCCACACUGGAACUGAGACACGGUCCAGACUCCUACGGGAGGCAGCAGUAGGGAAUCUUCCGCAAUGGGCGAAAGCCUGACGGAGCAACGCCGCGUGAGUGAUGAAGGUCUUCGGAUCGUAAAACUCUGUUAUUAGGGAAGAACAAAUGUGUAAGUAACUAUGCACGUCUUGACGGUACCUAAUUAGAAAGCCACGGCUAACUACGUG
rnacentral:rRNA from 1 species